GAGGAAAGCUGGCGGCGUGCCUAAUACAUGCAAGUCGAGCGAACGGACGAGAAGCUUGCUUCUCUGAUGUUAGCGGCGGACGGGUGAGUAACACGUGGAUAACCUACCUAUAAGACUGGGAUAACUUCGGGAAACCGGAGCUAAUACCGGAUAAUAUUUUGAACCGCAUGGUUCAAAAGUAAAAGACGGUCUUGCUGUCACUUAUAGAUGGAUCCGCGCUGCAUUAGCUAGUUGGUAAGGUAACGGCUUACCAAGGCAACGAUGCAUAGCCGACCUGAGAGGGUGAUCGGCCACACUGGAACUGAGACACGGUCCAGACUCCUACGGGAGGCAGCAGUAGGGAAUCUUCCGCAAUGGGCGAAAGCCUGACGGAGCAACGCCGCGUGAGUGAUGAAGGUCUUCGGAUCGUAAAACUCUGUUAUUAGGGAAGAACAUAUGUGUAAGUAACUGUGCACAUCUUGACGGUACCUAAUCAGAAAGCCACGGCUAACUACGUG
rnacentral:rRNA from 1 species